rnacentral:lncRNA from 1 species
UCCAUCUUAGGUAUCUAAACAUCCAUGAAAGUAGAAGCUUCAUCAGUGUCCCCAAGUCACUAUUCAAACUCUACCAUUUACAAGGGUUGAGUCUGCAAACUCAAGACAGGAUCAUGAAAAAGGAACUCCAAGAGGGCAUAAGUAGGUUGACACAGUUAAGAUACUUAAAGGCUCCGAAGAAAAUAAUUUCAGACAUAGAAUUGAUUGGCAGGCCGAGAUCCCUCAAAAGAACUAGAGGAGAACAAAGUGAAGAGUAAUAUGAGGCACAACAUAUGACUCAGUGGAAAGGAUGGUCAGGCGUUGAGAACAACCAGCAUGCAUUUUCUCGCCUGCAUGACAUCCGUAUCAAGAAAUGUAAUGAGUUAGUGGGGCCUUUGCUGUUCCCACCAUCAUUCAAUACGAUCAAAAUUUCAGCAUGUGAUUCAACCUCUGAGAAGGUAAUCAGUCGUGAGCCUGAAGAUACAGCUGAUGCCAACAUGUCCCUCCGUGUUCAGCUCUCCCUGGACCGCUUGGAACUUCUCUUUAGCUCUCUGCAAACAAGCAGCCUAGCCACCGUUCAUAUGCUGGAUAUCUCAUCCGACUACUUGGAAGCUUUUAACAGUGAUCAGGAGGAAUGGCUGCGACAACUGACCUCAGUGAAGUUAAUUCGCUUCACUGGCAGUCUAAAAUUGACAUCACUGCCAUCCAACAUGAUUCAUAUCACCUCCCUUGAGUCUUUGGGCAUAGAGAAAUGUCCAAAACUUGAGUCGCUUCCCCAGAUAGGCUUACCUCCUUCCCUGAAGAAACUCUGUCAUAAGAUGCAGCAAAACAUUUGGUCAGCUCUGCUCUGAGAUCAACUCAAGCAGCACCAACACGAUGCAGCAGGUUAUCGUGAGGGGACCUAUUGUUGGCAAUGGAAUAAAAAGAAGGACAUCAUCAUAAUAGAAAACCUGUAAGCAUGCCAAACAUAUUGUCUUCUUUUUCAUCAAUACGAAUUGAAGAAACAUGUAAAUCAAUCUUAUCCAAUCAAUCAACAAGAUGGAUGGAAAUAAAAAAAAUACUUUACCACAUGGAUUGCUGUUCUAGAAGGUCAAUGUCAAACAAGGUAUUCAUGCUUUAUUCAAUGCUUCGGUUUCUUUGCAGCUCGGAAGUGCAGAAGUUCCUUUUCUAGAGGAUAGAUGGCUGAACAAGUGCCUAACUGAGCAGCCUGCAUCAGCUCUCUUCUCCCUUGUGACGACAAGAAUCAAGAAUAUGCACAUUGUUCAGGAGGCUCUGAAUAAUGAAUGGAAUGCUGUUGUUUUGGGAUCUCUCAGUGUCCAGGCCAAUUCACGAAGAGCCGCAUCUUUGGGACCAGUUGAGUGCCAGCACACUUGAUUCACUGACACCAGCGAAGUUCGUGUGGAAAUGGAGAAACAAUGGAGGGUAUUCAACAUGAUCAGAUUAUAAGAUCCAGUGCUGGUUCUUCCAGUGCAGGAUAUUGGUGGCAGAAGCUUGGUAAAUAAUUGUUACGUCUUCCACUGGCCUUAAUGCAUUGAAUAGCAGAUUCAGGGGAUCGCAAUUGUGGUUUACUCACCCUAAUUUGUAGCUCUACUGGAUACAUAAUUAAGGAGUGCAAACUCAGGAGGCUGGUUAGAGCGGUGCAGUAGAUCGUUGUUCCAGGGAGAAAUAGCUAUUUUGUUUAUGUCCUACUUAGGCAGAAGGUUAACUAUCAGGCUUAUUGUUCUUUUGUUAAUAACUUAAUAUGCUGUCCUUGCUCACAGCGUCGAAAGACAUUUUUUUGUGGUUCUUUGCUCCUUCUAAACGAAAUUAUACACUUGGCUAUUGCAUAUUACGGUAAAACAACAAGAAGAAAUUUCCAAUUCCACAUGAACAUUAGUUAAGUAAUACUCCAAUUUAUAACUUUGUCAGCAUACUUUUUUACGAGAAAAUAAAGAUAUGAUAGGCAGAUGACUUCCUUAUCCUAUUUCCAGAAAUCAAAUUAGAUGGUGAAAAAGAAAUUUGGCAUGCUACCUGUAAUAUAAUAUUUUAUCCCCCGCUCUUCUAAUGGUGAACCACCCUCAGUAUUGACCGAGAGCGAAUGACACAGCAAGUGUCUUGGCAUAAUUCAGACAAAUGUUCAGGCAAUCAUUCAAAGAAUCUGUAGUUGGCCAUGGAUACAAGCCCAUAACAAGCUCCUAUGCGCUCACAAUAACUCACCGUAGACUCUGUUUACCAUUACCUCACACAAAAAUGAGCAAGGAUUCUAUAACUUUGUUCAGCUGAACAACAAGCUGUGGUGGCACAAAACGUUAUCCGUCCCAUUUCUGCACAGAAGACUCCAAUCUUCAGUCCGCAGACUACACUAUCGCAGCUUCUGAAUCCAGAUCCGCGCCAAUCCCCCAGCCACUACUAUUUAGGAAAACGAAGGGGCAGCUAAAAAGGAGGGAUUCAGCUCGCCGGGGAACCAUAACGAGGUUAUAUGAGCUCAGCUAAUCGCAGGGAACCAUGGUUGCAACCAAGCGAGGAUAAAUCGGUGCCAACCGCACGGUAAGAGGAGACCGGAGACCGACGAUGUAGACGGGACACUUACCUGGAUGAGAGUGGCGACCUAAGAGGCCGACGUCCCCCGCCGCCACCGGAGACCACGUCGGCGAC